rnacentral:rRNA from 1 species
GACGAACCGUGCGAACGUUGUUCGGAAUCACUGGGCUUAAAGGGAGCGUAGGCGGGCUAUCAAGUCUGGGGUGAAAUGCCGCGGCUCAACCGUGGAACUGCCUCAGAUACUGACGGCCUCGAGGAAGAUAGGGGCAUGCGGAACUGUGAGUGGAGCGGUGAAAUGCGUUGAUAUUCACAGGAACUCCGGUGACGAAAGCGGCGUGCUGGAUCUUUUCUGACGCUGAGGCUCGAAAGCUAGGGGAGCAAACGGG